ACUACGGGUGGCAGCAGUGAGGAAUAUUGGUCAAUGGGCGGAAGCCUGAACCAGCCAAGUAGCGUGCAGGAUGACGGCCCUACGGGUUGUAAACUGCUUUUAUACGGGAAUAACGCGCCUUACGUGUAGGGCUUUGCAUGUACCGUAUGAAUAAGGACCGGCUAAUUCCGUGCCAGCAGCCGCGGUAAUAAGGAAGGUCCGGGCGUUAUCCGGAUUUAUUGGGUUUAAAGGGAGCGUAGGCCGCAUGUCAAGCGUGCUGUGAAAUGUCCGGGCUCAACCCGGGCCGUGCAGCGCGAACUGGCGUGCUUGAGUCCGCGGAAAGCAGGCGGAAUUCGUCGUGUAGCGGUGAAAUGCUUAGAUAUGACGAAGAACCCCGAUUGCGAAGGCAGCUUGCUGCAGCGGAACUGACGCUGAUGCUCGAAAGCGCGGGUAUCGAACAGGAUUAGAUACCCGAGUAGUC
rnacentral:rRNA from 1 species